AUCAAAAGUCUUUGAAUCAUGUAAUUCCAUUCACUAUGAAAAAGGAUCUUAAUUCAGCUAUACUGUUUGAGAAGACAACUUCAGAAAACCAGACUAUAUAUAUGUACAAACAACUAUACUUCAAAAUAUGAAUAUACAGAAUUGUUUGCCAUCAGUUGCAGAAGUGAAUUAAAAUUCACAUUUGCCAAAAUUCAAUAAUUUUCUUACAUGAAUGUGAGUUUUAAAUCUGCAGAGCUGUCAGUCAAAACAAUAUAAAAACAUAGACUUAAUUUGUGAAGUCAUAGUGCAUGAAGACUAAAUAACUUGGGGAAUUAUUUAUCAAUCAAGGAAAAAUAUGUCAAGCAUAAAUAAUGGAUGCAGAUUUUUUAUUUCUUCCAUACAACAUAAACCAAGUGUUCCCAUUAAUUAAGUCUAUUGUUUGAUGUAAUCUGUUUUAAAAGGAUAUUUCUCCAUUAAGGUGGAAUGAAAGACAUUCCAGCAAGUGAAAAGCAGUUAAAGGGUUCAUGCCACUUCUGACAAACUUUUUCGAUAUCAAGCAGAAAAUAUUUCUAUCAUUUUGUUGCUGAGUAUGGUUAUGCUGCAUAACUUCUUCCACUUAGAGGAACUCUUUUAUAUAGAUAUAAAAUAUAUAAUUUACUUAGAAGAUUUUCUACAUAUAGCCCAGCCACAAAAAUGAAGAUUGAGCAGGAGUGACUCCAGCAUGGAUCUGGAUCCAAGAACCAGUUUAUGAGGUUAGAGAAGUGUAGCUCACAAAUUUCAAUAAGCUUAUGCCAAGCUACACCAGCUGCAAUGUUGAAAACCUAGGAAUCCUCCCAGUGAAGUUUGAAAGCAUUCCAAGUAAACAAAAAUAGCAGAGUAGAGUAUAAACAGUUACCUAAACAUAACCCUAGAUUUAACUAGGGCUUCUUUGAAAGAACAAAGCACUCAAAUAUAACUGUAGUACAUUGUGUACAUUUUAUGCUGUGUUUAUUACUGUUGAUGUGCUCAAGGUGACUUUUUAUUUUGAAUGUCUUAUACUUUGAUCUUAAUAUCUGUUUUAAUUGCAUAUUCAAAUAUUAUAAUUUUCUUAA